GGGUGAGUAAUGUCUGGGAAACUGCCUGAUGGAGGGGGAUAACUACUGGAAACGGUAGCUAAUACCGCAUAACGUCGCAAGACCAAAGAGGGGGACCUUCGGGCCUCUUGCCAUCGGAUGUGCCCAGAUGGGAUUAGCUAGUAGGUGGGGUAACGGCUCACCUAGGCGACGAUCCCUAGCUGGUCUGAGAGGAUGACCAGCCCACUGGAACUGAGACACGGUCCAGACUCCUACGGGAGGCAGCAGUGGGGAAUAUUGCACAAUUGGCGCAAGCCUGAUGCAGCCAUGCCGCGUGUAUGAAGAAGGCCUUCGGGUUGUAAAGUACUUUUAGCGGGGAGGAAGGGAGUAAAGUUAAUACCUUUGCUCAUUGACGUUACCCGCAGAAGAAGCACCGGCUAACUCCGUGCCAGCAGCCGCCGUAAUACGGAGGGUGCAAGCGUUAAUCGGAAUUACUGGGCGUAAAGCGCACGCAGGCGGUUUGUUAAGUCAGAUGUGAAAUCCCCGGGCUCAACCUGGGAACUGCAUCUGAUACUGGCAAGCUUGAGUCUCGUAGAGGGGGGUAGAAUUCCAGGUGUAGCGGUGAAAUGCGUAGAGAUCUGGAGGAAUACCGGUGGCGAAGGCGGCCCCCUGGACGAAGACUGACGCUCAGGUGCGAAAGCGUGGGGAGCAAACAGGAUUAGAUACCCUGGUAGUCCACGCCGUAAACGAUGUCGACUUGGAGGUUGUGCCCUUGAGGCGUGGCUUCCGGAGCUAACGCGUUAAGUCGACCGCCUGGGGAGUACGGCCGCAAGGUUAAAACUCAAAUGAAUUGACGGGGGCCCGCACAAGCGGUGGAGCAUGUGGUUUAAUUCGAUGCAACGCGAAGAACCUUACCUGGUCUUGACAUCCACAGAACUUUCCAGAGAUGGAUUGGUGCCUUCGGGAACUGUGAGACAGGUGCUGCAUGGCUGUCGUCAGCUCGUGUUGUGAAAUGUUGGGUUAAGUCCCGCAACGAGCGCAACCCUUAUCUUUUGUUGUCAGCGGUCCGGCCGGGAACUCAAAGGAGACUGCCAGUGAUAAACUGGAGGAAGGUGGGGAUGACGUCAAGUCAUCAUGGCCCUUACGACCAGGGCUACACACGUGCUACAAUGGCGCAUACAAAGAGAAGCGACCUCGCGAGAGCAAGCGGACCUCAUAAAGUGCGUCGUAGUCCGGAUUGGAGUCUGCAACUCGACUCCAUGAAGUCGGAAUCGCUAGUAAUCGUGGAUCAGAAUGCCACGGUGAAUACGUUCCCGGGCCUUGUACACACCGCCCGUCACACCAUGGGAGUGGGUUGCAAAAGAAGUAGGUAGCUUAACCUUCGGGAGGGCGCUUACCACUUUGUGAUUCAUGACUGGGGUGAAGUCGAACAAGGUAACCGUAGGGGAACCUGCGGUUG
rnacentral:rRNA from 1 species